ensembl:lncRNA
AAAGAGACAGCGGCCGUCCGGAAUACUACUUUCUUGGCAGACGCGUCUGGCGCAUGUCUAUUGGAAACAGCGCGAGAUAAAUCACCGCGUGCGCAGGGAAGAACGAAACUCAGCGCUGGUGACGUUGAACACACAUCAGGGAUGAGCAGAGAGCGUCUGUGCUGGUCUGCUGAACCCUAUGCUGGAGGACACUGGAGAGAACGGCUGUCAGCGGCAGGCCAUAAAAGAGGACAACAAAAUGGAAGACAAAAAACAGGUUCAACCACCUGUCGGCUGCAAAGGUCUCAGUGUAACUUUCAUUGGAGCAAAGCGCCCUUUUUCUGUAAUUAAGUCUUAUUUCGGCUGUCUGGAUUAAAAAGGGC